CGCGCUCCCCAGCUCCUGCGCUUCGUUGUCCGAGCGUUUCAGCGAAGGUCGACCAGACAUGAGCGGCAAAGAAGGGUCAGGAGGGUUCAGGAAGAGGAAGCAUGACAACUUCCCGCUUAACCAAAGAAGAGAGGGGAAGGAUGUUAAUUCAUCUUCUCCCGUGAUGUUGGCCUUCAAAUCCUUCCAGCAGGAGCUGGAUGCGAGACAUGACAAAUACGAGAGGCUUGUGAAGCUCAGCCGGGAUAUAACUGUGGAAAGUAAAAGGACAAUUUUUCUCCUCCAUAGGAUUACAAGUGCACCUGAUAUGGAAGAAAUAUUGACCGAAUCAGAAAUUAAAUUGGAUGGCGUCAGACAAAAAAUAUUACAGGUAGCCCAAGAGCUAUCAGGAGAAGACAUGCAUCAGUUCCACCAAGCCAUUACGACGGGACUGCAGGAGUAUGUAGAAGCUGUCUCUUUUCAACAUUUCAUCAAAACACGAUCAUUAAUCAGCAUGGAUGAAAUUAAUAAACAGUUAAUAUUUACAACAGAAGACAGUGGAAAAGAAAACAAGACUCCCUCCUCUGAUGCACAGGAAAAGCAGCUGCUCACUUGGAGCCUGAGAGUCACGCCUGUUGAUUACCUCCUCGGAGUGGCUGAUUUAACUGGAGAAUUGAUGCGGAUGUGUAUUAACAGUGUGGGGAAUGGGGACAUUGACACACCCUUUGAAGUCAGCCAGUUUUUACGUCAGGUUUAUGAUGGGUUCUCAUUCAUUGGCAACACAGGGCCUUAUGAAGUUUCUAAGAAGCUGUACACCUUGAAACAGAGCCUGGCCAAAGUGGAGAAUGCUUGUUAUGCCCUGAAAGUCCGGGGUUCAGAAAUUCCAAAACACAUGCUGGCAGAUGUGUUUUCAGUUAAAACAGAAAUGAUUGAGCAGGAAGAGGGUAUUUCUUAGAAUAGUACCACACAGCUAUUUGCUUAAAAAUUCCUGAGAGAGACCAGUUUGUAAGACUGUUAUUCAGUGUUUUAUUUGGUUUUAUUGUGGUUUUUUCAUAGAAAUGUUUUCAAUUGUACUUGUUUUAAAUUGUAAACAAGUUGUAUAUAAAAUGUUCCAAAUGAAUAAUUUCUUAUUCAUGAAAAUUUGCACACAACCGUUCACUUAUAUGUUAAUUUGAACUUUUGUUGCCUAACCUUUAUCAUUUACUGUGUUGUGUGACCAUGCUUUGGAUUGCACAUUCUGCCAUAUGUAUUUCAAUUUACUUUGUGUGAGUUUUAUAGUGAUGCUUUUUAGUGGAAUCCAUUGAAGUUGGUAAUUUUGUUAUAUAUAGAAAAGAUUUCUUAAACUUCUGGGCUUAAACUUUCCUGUUUAAAUUUCUUCGUUAUUGUGCUAAGCCUUCAAAAUAGGUUUACUCCAUGGAGCAUUUAAAAUUAGUAUUUUAAAAUAUUAUAGUAAGAAUUAAUAUAAAAUCCUGGCAAAUUUUGAGCUGUUUUAACUUAUAUGAAACAGCCUUGCAGAAGAAUUGACAUACAUCAUUUACAACAUUUAUUUUUGUCCUUUAUCACAGAAGAUCUGAUGGUAAUUGGCACUAACAGUGUAAUAUUUUCACUUGGUAAAAUUGAGUUGAAUUGUGUAUUUGUACAUACAACUGAAAGACUUUUCAGUAGUGGUAAUUUUUUUGGUAAAUCUUUUUGGUGAUUAUAUUAGGCAUGACUGAAGGCUUUCCUAUUCUAACAUCUAUUAGAAGUUACAUUUAAAUAAUUAUGCAAUUUUGAAAUACUACGCUAAUCAAACCCUUAUA